UAGGGAAUAUUGGGCAAUGGACGAGAGUCUGACCCAGCCAUGCCGCGUGUAGGAAGAAGGCUUUCUGAGUUGUAAACUACUUUUGAUCGGGAACAAAACCCUCAUGCGUGAGGAAUUGAGUGUACCGAUAGAAUAAGCACCGGCUAACUCCGUGCCAGCAGCCGCGGUAAUACGGAGGGUGCAAGCGUUGUCCGGAUUUAUUGGGUUUAAAGGGUGCGUAGGCGGCUUUUUAAGUCAGUGGUGAAAUACUGCAGCUCAACUGUUAGAACUGCCAUUGAUACUGGGAAGCUUGAGUACAGACGAGGUAGGCGGAAUUGACAGUGUAGCGGUGAAAUGCUUAGAUAUUGUCAAGAACACCUAUUGCGAAGGCAGCUUACUAGACUGUAACUGACGCUGAGGCACGAAAGCGUGGGGAUCAAACAG
rnacentral:rRNA from 1 species